GACGAACGCUGGCGGCGUGCUUAACACAUGCAAGUCGAACGGAAAGGCCCUGCUUUUGUGGGGUGCUCGAGUGGCGAACGGGUGAGUAACACGUGAGUAACCUGCCCUUGACUUUGGGAUAACUUCAGGAAACUGGGGCUAAUACCGGAUAGGAGCUCCUGCUGCAUGGUGGGGGUUGGAAAGUUUCGGCGGUUGGGGAUGGACUCGCUGCUUAUCAGCUUGUUGGUGGGGUAGUGGCUUACCAAGGCUUUGACGGGUAGCCGGCCUGAGAGGGUGGACAGCCACAUUGCGACUGAGAUACGGCGCAGACUCCUACGGGAGGCAGAGGUGGGGAAUAUUGCACAAUGGGCGGAAGCCUGAUGCAGCGACGCCGCGUGCGGGAUGAUGGCCUUCGGGUUGUAAACCGCUUUCGCCUGUGACGAAGCGAGCGUGACGGUAAUGGGUAAAGAAGCACCGGCUAACUACGUG
rnacentral:rRNA from 1 species